rnacentral:rRNA from 1 species
GGGUUGUGAGGUUAAGCGACUAAGCGUACACGGUGGAUGCCCUGGCAGUCAGAGGCGAUGAAGGGCGUGCUAAUCUGCGAUAAGCGCCGGUAAGGUGAUAUGAACCGUUAUAACCGGCGAUACCCGAAUGGGGAAACCCAGUGUGAUUCGUCACACUAUCAUUAACUGAAUCCAUAGGUUAAUGAGGCGAACCGGGGGAACUGAAACAUCUAAGUACCCCGAGGAAAAGAAAUCAACCGAGAUUCCCCCAGUAGCGGCGAGCGAACGGGGAGGAGCCCAGAGCCUGAAUCAGCAUGUGUGUUAGUGGAAGCGUCUGGAAAGGCGCGCGAUACAGGGUGACAGCCCCGUACACAAAAGCGCAUGUGCUGUGAGCUCGAUGAGUAGGGCGGGACACGUGGUAUCCUGUCUGAAUAUGGGGGGACCAUCCUCCAAGGCUAAAUACUCCUGACUGACCGAUAGUGAACCAGUACCGUGAGGGAAAGGCGAAAAGAACCCCGGCGAGGGGAGUGAAAAAGAACCUGAAACCGUGUACGUACAAGCAGUGGGAGCNNNNNNNNNNNNNNNNNNNNNNNNNNNNNNNNNNNNNNNGGGCGUUAAGUUGCAGGGUAUAGACCCGAAACCCGGUGAUCUAGCCAUGGGCAGGUUGAAGGUUGGGUAACACUAACUGGAGGACCGAACCGACUAAUGUUGAAAAAUUAGCGGAUGACCUGUGGCUGGGGGUGAAAGGCCAAUCAAACCGGGAGAUAGCUGGUUCUCCCCGAAAGCUAUUUAGGUAGCGCCUCGUGAAUUCAUCUCCGGGGGUAGAGCACUGUUUCGGCUAGGGGGCCAUCCCGGCUUACCAACCCGAUGCAAACUGCGAAUACCGGAGAAUGUUAUCACGGGAGACACACGGCGGGUGCUAACGUCCGUCGUGAAGAGGGAAACAACCCAGACCGCCAGCUAAGGUCCCAAAGUCAUGGUUAAGUGGGAAACGAUGUGGGAAGGCCCAGACAGCCAGGAUGUUGGCUUAGAAGCAGCCAUCAUUUAAAGAAAGCGUAAUAGCUCACUGGUCGAGUCGGCCUGCGCGGAAGAUGUAACGGGGCUAAACCAUGCACCGAAGCUGCGGCAGCGACACUGUGUGUUGUUGGGUAGGGGAGCGUUCUGUAAGCCUGCGAAGGUGGCCUGUGAGGGUUGCUGGAGGUAUCAGAAGUGCGAAUGCUGACAUAAGUAACGAUAAAGCGGGUGAAAAGCCCGCUCGCCGGAAGACCAAGGGUUCCUGUCCAACGUUAAUCGGGGCAGGGUGAGUCGACCCCUAAGGCGAGGCCGAAAGGCGUAGUCGAUGGGAAACGGGUUAAUAUUCCCGUACUUGGUGUUACUGCGAAGGGGGGACGGAGAAGGCUAUGUUGGCCGGGCGACGGUUGUCCCGGUUUAAGCGUGUAGGUGUGUGUUCCAGGUAAAUCCGGUUCACUUUAACACUGAGGCGUGACGACGAGGCACUACGGUGCUGAAGCAACAAAUGCCCUGCUUCCAGGAAAAGCCUCUAAGCAUCAGGUAACAUCAAAUCGUACCCCAAACCGACACAGGUGGUCAGGUAGAGAAUACCAAGGCGCUUGAGAGAACUCGGGUGAAGGAACUAGGCAAAAUGGUGCCGUAACUUCGGGAGAAGGCACGCUGACACGUAGGUGAAGUGAUUUACUCAUGGAGCUGAAGUCAGUCGAAGAUACCAGCUGGCUGCAACUGUUUAUUAAAAACACAGCACUGUGCAAACACGAAAGUGGACGUAUACGGUGUGACGCCUGCCCGGUGCCGGAAGGUUAAUUGAUGGGGUCAGCGCAAGCGAAGCUCCUGAUCGAAGCCCCGGUAAACGGCGGCCGUAACUAUAACGGUCCUAAGGUAGCGAAAUUCCUUGUCGGGUAAGUUCCGACCUGCACGAAUGGCGUAAUGAUGGCCAGGCUGUCUCCACCCGAGACUCAGUGAAAUUGAACUCGCUGUGAAGAUGCAGUGUACCCGCGGCAAGACGGAAAGACCCCGUGAACCUUUACUAUAGCUUGACACUGAACAUUGAGCCUUGAUGUGUAGGAUAGGUGGGAGGCUUUGAAGUGUGGACGCCAGUCUGCAUGGAGCCGACCUUGAAAUACCACCCUUUAAUGUUUGAUGUUCUAACGUGGACCCGUUACCCGGGUUGCGGACAGUGUCUGGUGGGUAGUUUGACUGGGGCGGUCUCCUCCUAAAGAGUAACGGAGGAGCACGAAGGUUGGCUAAUCCUGGUCGGACAUCAGGAGGUUAGUGCAAUGGCAUAAGCCAGCUUGACUGCGAGCGUGACGGCGCGAGCAGGUGCGAAAGCAGGUCAUAGUGAUCCGGUGGUUCUGAAUGGAAGGGCCAUCGCUCAACGGAUAAAAGGUACUCCGGGGAUAACAGGCUGAUACCGCCCAAGAGUUCAUAUCGACGGCGGUGUUUGGCACCUCGAUGUCGGCUCAUCACAUCCUGGGGCUGAAGUAGGUCCCAAGGGUAUGGCUGUUCGCCAUUUAAAGUGGUACGCGAGCUGGGUUUAGAACGUCGUGAGACAGUUCGGUCCCUAUCUGCCGUGGGCGCUGGAGAACUGAGGGGGGCUGCUCCUAGUACGAGAGGACCGGAGUGGACGCAUCACUGGUGUUCGGGUUGUCAUGCCAAUGGCACUGCCCGGUAGCUAAAUGCGGAAGAGAUAAGUGCUGAAAGCAUCUAAGCACGAAACUUGCCCCGAGAUGAGUUCUCCCUGAGACUUAGAGUCUCCUGAAGGAACGUUGAAGACGACGACGUUGAUAGGCCGGGUGUGUAAGCGCAGCGAUGCGUUGAGCUAACCGGUACUAAUGAACCGUGAGGCUUAACCUUACAACGCCGAAG